rnacentral:lncRNA from 1 species
AGGGGGUCUGGGGGGAGCUGCCGCCCGUGGGGGACCCGUGCUGGAGCAGUUUGCUCCUGGGGGAUGGACCCUGUGGUAUGGAGCCAUGAUGUGGGAGCAGUUCUGGAAGAGCUGCUGCCUGUGGGCAGCCCCCGCAGGCUCAGUUCGGGCAGGACGGCAUCCCGUGGGAGGGACCCCACGGGGAGCAGGGGCAGGGAGGGACCGUGAAGGAGCGGCGGAGACGAAGUGUCAGGGACUGACUGCAGCCCCCAUUCCCCGUUCUCCUGCGCUGCUUGGGGGGAGGAGGCAGAAGAGGGCAGAUGGGGGGAAGGUGCUUUUGGUUUGAGUUCCCGCUGCCCUAUUGCGCUAUUAAUUGGCGACAAGUUCAAUUAACCUUCCCCAGGGGAAGUCUGUUCUGCCUGUGAUGGUAAGCGGCAAGCGAUCUCCCCGUCCCUAGCCCACGCAUUUUUUCGUCGUAUUUCUGUCCUGCUGGGGAGGAGUGGGAGACUGCCGUACACCCGCUGUUUGGGUUACUAUACAUUUCACACACCACAGACUCGGCACUCGGGUUAUUAUAUAUAUAUAGAUAGAUAGAUAUAUACACACCCCACACUCCCCAACGCCGGCCCCGCGCCGCCCCGCAGCCCCGGCGCCCUCCGUGCCCAGGCCCCGUCCCCGUCCCCGCCCCGUCCCCGCCCCGCCGGGCGCAGCCCCCGCCCCCCGCCGCGGCCCUGCCCGGAGCCGCCGCGCCGAUGCCACGUGGGAGGCGGCGGAGCCGCCGUCGGCGCCGGGCCGGAACCGCGGCCCCCCUGCCGCUGGGCACGGCGCUCGCCGGCCGCCGCGAGGAGGGGAGGUCGCGGAGCCCCCGGGACCGCGGCGGGGUGGCCGAGACCCGAUGGGUGCUCGGCGCCGUGGCGCCCGGCUCGCGGCUCGGCCUCCCGGGCCUAGAGGCGCUGGCGGCGGCGGCGGGGCCUAGGGGCGGCUCCCCGCCCUGGGCGGCGCCCGCGCUGCUCCCGGUGCCGCCGGCGGCGCAGCCGGCCCCGCGGCGGGAGGGCAGCGACCUGCCCGCCUGCGCGCCCGCCGCCGCCCUGGCCCUGCUGCGCCUGCAGCCGGGCGCCGACGGCGCGGCGCGGGCGGCCGGGGCCGGGGCCGGGGCCGCGCCGCGGCUGCGGACCGUCUACGUGAACCCGCGCUGGCUGGAGCGGCAGGCGGCGCUCGGGGCGGCCGCGGCGGCCGCCAGCCCCUGCGCCGAGGCGGCGGCGAGCGGCGCGGCCGGGGGCCCGGCGGCGGCGGCGGCGGCGGCGGGGCAGGGCGAGGCGGCCCCGGCCCCGGCCUCGGCCCCGGCCCCGGCCCCGGCCUCGGCCCCGGCCCCGGCUCCGGCCCCGGCCCCGGCGGCGGAGGCGGCGGCCACCCCCUACGUGGGGCUGCGGCGGCCCCUGGGCUACCAGCUGGCCAAGGCCACCAAGGAGCGCAUCUGGCGGGGGGAGUUCAUUGACCUGUUUUCCUUGCUCCACACAGAGCUGGCCCCCGAGCACGGCCCGCGGCCGGGGGACACGCUGGACCAGUGGGUCUCCGCCUUUCUGGUGUACGCCAGCGUGGUGUGCGAGAAGCACCCGGCGCGCUGCGGGGCCAUGUUCAAGUACCUGGACACCAUCCGCAAGCUGCACGCCACCUACGGGGGCACCUCGUGGAUGAGCUACGACGAGGACUUUCGGCGGCGGGCGGCCAAGGACCCCAACCUGCCGUGGGGCGACGUCGACCUGGACCUCUGGAUGAAGUGGAUGGCGCCCCUCAAGUCGCUCGUCAGCAGGCACCAGCGUGCCGAGAGCGAGCCGCAGGCCGCGCCGCCACCUCCACCGCCGCCACCAUCCUCGUCGUCGGCCCAGAGCCCCAAGCAGGAGGAGAAAAGCCAGACUCCAUGAAAACAGAAGGCCAGUUGGAAUGGCAGUCAGACUAAGUGGCCUGACUCCGUUGGUGUUUAAGUGGAGCUCUGGUAUUCUAGUGCAUUCUUUUACCUCUGCUUCUGUUGCGUUGCAAGCUGUGCUAGAGAAGACGUAGGAAAUUCAUUUUACCCAAUCAGCAAUUGUAACAAUGGACUACAAACCUGCAGAGCAAGCCAGUUUGCUGGAAAACAGGAAUUCCUGCAGCGCAGCACUUGUCACAGACUAUCCAAAGAGGGCAAAGAUUCAGGAAGGUGAAUAAAUUGAACAUUGGUUGAAUGAGGUCA